rnacentral:rRNA from 1 species
ACGCUGGCGGCGUGCUUAAUACAUGCAAGUCAACUUGACUUUAGAUAGCAAUAUCGAAAAGUAGGGUGGCGCACGGGUGCGUAACGCGUAGGUAAUCUGCCCUGAGGUCUGACAUAACCCGUCGAAAGGCGGGCUAACAUCAGAUGAUAUAUAAUCACGACAUCGUGGAAAUAUCAAAUCUUCGGAGCCUUGGGAUGAGCCUGCGUCUGAUUAGGUAGUUGGCGGAGUAAUAGCCCACCAAGCCUACGAUCAGUAGCUGGUCUGAGAGGAUGAUCAGCCACACUGGAACUGAGACACGGUCCAGACUCCUACGGGAGGCAGCAGUAAGGAAUAUUGCUCAAUGGGGGAAACCCUGAAGCAGCAACGCCGCGUGAAGGAUGAAAUACUUUGUAUGUAAACUUCUGUAAGAUGGGAAAAAUAUUCUCCUCGGGAGAAUUGAUUGUACCAUCAGAGUAAGCCCCGGCUAACUAGGUG